rfam:Octopus bimaculoides Scaffold40938_contig_40, whole genome shotgun sequence.
GUAUUAUCUGCGGCGUUACAUAUUCUACAAUUGGAACAAUACAGAGAAGAUUAAUAUGACCCUUUCGCAAGGAUGAUACUCAAAUUCGUGAAGCGUUCUAUAUUUUU